AGGACUUACAGGGGUAGGAGUGAAAUCUUGUAAUACCCUGUGGGGACCCACCUGGUGGCGAAGGCGCCUUACCGAGAACGGGUUCCGACGGUGAGGGACGAAAGCUGGGGCACGAACCGGAUUAGAUACCCGGGUAGUCCCAGCCGUAAACGAUGCUCGCUAGGUGUCAGGCAUGGCGCGACCGUGUCUGGUGCCGCAGGGAAGCCGUGAAGCGAGCCACCUGGGAAGUACGGCCGCAAGGCUGAAACUUAAAGGAAUUGGCGGGGAGCACAACAAAACCGGGUUGGAGCCCGACGGUUUAAUUGGACUCAACGCCGGACAACUCACCGGGGCGACAGCAAUAUGUAGGCCAAGCUGAAGACUUUGACCUGAAUCGCUGAGUAGUGGUGCAUGG
rnacentral:rRNA from 1 species